GGCUGGCCGAUAUAUAGCCGCUCUUCCUGGGUUCUGGCUGACCAUUCCUGCCUGUGCAGCCUUUGCAGAAACCCCACGCCAGGUAGAGCCCAGGAACCCCCAGCUCCAGCAUGUGGGCACAGCCGUCUGCUGCUUUGGCCCUUCUAUGCCUGCUGCAGGUGCAGGCCGAGCUGCCCGUCCAGGCUGACUUCCAGCAAGAGCAGUUCACAGGCACCUGGUACAGCAUCGGCCUGGCCUCCAACUCCCGCUGGUUCAAGGAGAAAAGGCAGGUCAUCAAGAUGUGCACCACAGUCGUCUCCCCCACAGAAGACGGGAACCUGGACAUCGCCUCCACCUACCCCAAGCUUGACCAGUGUGAGACCAAGAGGACCGUUUUCCUCCGGACGGAGGAGCCUGGACGCUUCACCUACACCAGCCCUUGGUCAGGAAGUGCCCACAACAUCCGGGUGCUGGAGACCAACUACAACGAGUAUGCACUGCUGGGGGACACCAUCACCAAGGGGGCCGACACCUUCACCAUGGUCACCCUCUAUGGGAGGCAGAAACAGCUGCGCCCGGAGCUGCUGGCGAAGUUCACCCAGACGGCCUUGAGCCAGGGACUUGCCCAGGAAGACGUCCUCGUUCUGCCCCGGACUGAUCUCUGCAUGGGAGAAACCGUGUAGGCGAGUGGCAUUUGUUCCAGCUUUCGCUCGCCCAGAAAGUAUCCAAGAAUGCAAACUUCCUCGCCUGGCUUUUGGCUCCUGCCCCCAAGGGAGGGAGGGGGGCCGAAGACCCCUUUCUCCCCACAGUGCUGGAAUUCUCCCCAUGGCCUCCUUUCCCCUCCUGCCUCUCGCCUGAUAGCAGCCUUUCUCCUGCCCUGGAAAUAUUAAUAAGAGCAAUAAUAAAAGAAUAUGUAACACA